rnacentral:rRNA from 1 species
AUUGAACGCUGGCGGCAUGCCUUACACAUGCAAGUCGAACGGCAGCACGGGAGCUUGCUCCUGGUGGCGAGUGGCGAACGGGUGAGUAAUACAUCGGAACGUACCCAGCAGUGGGGGAUAACGCACCGAAAGGUGCGCUAAUACCGCAUACGACCUACGGGUGAAAGCGGGGGACCGUAAGUCCUCGCGCUAUUGGAGCGGCCGAUGUCUGAUUAGCUAGUUGGCGGGGUAAUAGCCCACCAAGGCGACGAUCAGUAGCUGGACUGAGAGGACGAUCAGCCACACUGGGACUGAGACACGGCCCAGACUCCUACGGGAGGCAGCAGUGGGGAAUUUUGGACAAUGGGGGCAACCCUGAUCCAGCAAUGCCGCGUGUGCGAAGAAGGCCUUCGGGUUGUAAAGCACUCUUGUCAGGGAAGAAAUCUUUCAGGCUAAUACCCUUGGAAGGAUGACGGUACCUGAAGAAUAAGCACCGGCUAACUACGUGCCAGCAGCCGCCGUAA